CCGGGCACUACGAUGAGACGUGAAAACACCCGAUCCCAUUCUGACCUUGAUAUAUAUGUGGAAUCGUCUUGCACCAUAUGUACUAAAAUUGUUCAGGAGACAUGGUCAGAGCCCGGA
rnacentral:rRNA from 1 species